GAGUUUGAUCGUGGCUCAGGAUGAACGCUGGCGGCGUGCCUAAUACAUGCAAGUCGAGCGAACAGACGAGGAGCUUGCUCCUCUGACGUUAGCGGCGGACGGGUGAGUAACACGUGGAUAACCUACCUAUAAGACUGGGACAACUUCGGGAAACCGGAGCUAAUACCGGAUAAUAUAUUGAACCGCAUGGUUCAAUAGUGAAAGACGGUUUUGCUGUCACUUAUAGAUGGAUCCGCGCCGCAUUAGCUAGUUGGUAAAGUAACGGCUUACCAAGGCAACGAUGCGUAGCCGACCUGAGAGGGUGAUCGGCCACACUGGAACUGAGACACGGUCCAGACUCCUACGGGAGGCAGCAGUAGGGAAUCUUCCGCAAUGGGCGAAAGCCUGACGGAGCAACGCCGCGUGAGUGAUGAAGGUCUUCGGAUCGUAAAACUCUGUUAUUAGGGAAGAACAAAUGUGUAAGUAACUAUGCACGUCUUGACGGUACCUAAU
rnacentral:rRNA from 1 species